rnacentral:rRNA from 1 species
CACGUAGUUAGCCGGGGCUUCUUCUGGAGGUACCGUCACCCUCUGGGCUAUUCACCCGAGUGGCUUCGUCCCUCCUGAAAGCGGUUUACAACCCGAAGGCCUUCUUCCCGCACGCGGCGUCGCUGCGUCAGGCUUUCGCCCAUUGCGCAAGAUUCCCCACUGCUGCCUCCCGUAGGAGUCUGGGCCGUGUCUCAGUCCCAGUGUGGCUGAUCGUCCUCUCAGACCAGCUAUGGAUCGUCGCCUUGGUGGGCCGUUACCCCGCCAACAAGCUAAUCCACCGCGGACCCAUCCUCGGCCAGAGGCCGAAGCUACCUUUCCCACGUUCCCCGCAGGGAUGUGGGGCUAGUCCGGCAUUAACUCCCGGGUUUCCCCGGGCUAUUCCGGUGCCGAGGGCAGGUUAUCCACGUGUUACUCACCCGUUCGCCGCUGUCCCCAGGGCCCGAAGCCCUGGUUCCUCGCUCGACUUGCAUGUGUAGGCGCGCCGCCAGCGUUCGUCCUGAGCCCGAGGAGUCAACGUCU